rnacentral:misc_RNA from 1 species
AAGUCGUAACAAGGUUUCCGUAGGGGAACCUGCGGAAGGAUCAUUAACGAAUUUCUCAAGGUUGCUUUUGCGUGGUGCGGUCUUUCCGCAUAGCGUUGAACGUGACUCUUGAGCAUUUUCACACCAUCCCUGUGCACCUUAAGAGGGUAACGGUUCUGUCUUGAGCGCUGCAAAGUGCUCGAUAGGAUAUGUUGCCUUCUCUUUCACAAAAUCAAAAGUCUAGAAUGUUUGAUAAUAUUAAAUAAAAUAA